rnacentral:rRNA from 1 species
UACGUAGGGUGCGAGCGUUAAUCGGAAUUACUGGGCGUAAAGCGUGCGCAGGCGGUUUUGUAAGUCAGAUGUGAAAUCCCCGGGCUUAACCUGGGAAUGGCAUUUGGGACUGCAAGGCUGGAGUUUGGCAGAGGAGACUGGAAUUCCUGGUGUAGCGGUGAAAUGCGCAGAUAUCAGGAGGAACACCGGUGGCGAAGGCGGGUCUCUGGCCAGUUUCUGACGCUGCAGCGCGAAAGCGUGGGGAUCAAACAGG